GACGAACGCUGGCGGCGUGCUUAACACAUGCAAGUCGAGCGAUGAGAUCACUUCGGUGAAGGAUUAGCGGCGAACGGGUGAGGAACACGUGAAGAAUCUGCCUUCAACUCUGGGAUAACUCCGGGAAACCGGGGCUAAUACCGGAUAUGAGCCUUGAUCGCAUGAUCGGGGCUGGAAAGUUUUUCGGUUGAAGAUGACUUCGCGGCCUAUCAGCUUGUUGGUGAGGUAAUGGCUCACCAAGGCGACGACGGGUAGCCGGCCUGAGAGGGCGACCGGCCACACUGGGACUGAGACACGGCCCAGACUCCUACGGGAGGCAGCAGUGGGGAAUAUUGGGCAAUGGAGGAAACUCUGACCCAGCGACGCCGCGUGCGGGAUGAAGGCCUUCGGGUUGUAAACCGCUUUCAGCAGGGAAUAAGCGCAAGUGAAGGUACCUGCAGAAGAAGCACCGGCUAACUAUGUGCCAGCAGCCGCGGUAAUACAUAGGGUGCAAGCGUUGUCCGGAAUUAUUGGGCGUAAAGAGCUCGUAGGUGGUUUGUUACGUCGGUUGUGAAAUUCAGGGGCUCAACCCCUGACUUGCAGCCGAUACGGGCAAGCUAGAGUUUGGUAGGGGAGACUGGAAUUCCUGGUGUAGCGGUGGAAUGCGCAGAUAUCAGGAGGAACACCGAUGGCGAAGGCAGGUCUCUGGGCCAAUACUGACA
rnacentral:rRNA from 1 species